rnacentral:lncRNA from 1 species
CUUUCCAUCAGGGCCAAUACCAAAACCUUUAGGGUCGGCAAACACGUUUUCCAACAAUUGGCUCCGUGGAGGGUGCGGGCUUGCGUCGGCAAACUCAACAGCCUCCUCAACAACAUUGUCAAUGUUCUUCUCAAUGCUCUUCAGCUCAGGUUCAGUUGCGAGGUUCUGCUCAAUGAUGUACUUCUUCAAGGCCGUAAUCGGAUCCCUUGCAGCAUAGUGGGUUUUCUCAUCUGUGCACAGAGAAUGUGAUGGAGUCAGUUUAACAAUUGCUCAAACCAGACUGCUGUUAAAGACAGAAGAAACCCACGAAAGCUUAACAUUGAAGAGCCAGUAACUCAAGAAUGGUUCUGUAACACAUGUGAUGGAGAAAUGAAGACAACACAUGCAUAUAUAUACAUUUGUAAUGAUGUGACCGAUGACAGUCACGAAACAAGGUGCAAGUGCUCUGAACAUCAGUUGGCAUACAUUCAUGAAUCAUGAUACAAGGUCAUGGUCAAAUCGUUACAUAAAAUAAUCCAGACCCAGUUCAGUGUACAACUUAACCCCAAACUUGUUAAAGCAUCACAAAACCCCCAAAAGUGAAGGAAUUUUGACAGGCACCAAUCUUACAAACCUUAAAUCUACAUUUAGAUUAUUUGAAAAUAAUCCAAUGCAUGGCCAUGGACACCAUUUAUUUGAAACAUAUCCUACAUCUCUUUCACAAAAAUAUCAAAUUUCACCUAAACACUUUUCUUGGGUUUGGCAAUUGAUUCUUAGGAAGACCAAUACAGGAAGCAAAAUGAAAAUAAAUGGAUUGAUAAAAUUGCACUUCAUUACAGACAAAAGAAUGAAAUGCAUCAACUCAAUUGGCUAGAAAAGUAAAAGUGGGCUUUUGGAAAUGGAAAAGGAAAAUCCAGGACAAGUGGCCCCAAAACCCAUGAGGAUGGGCAAAAAGACAUCCUAACUAUACCUAUCAGGAUGUAGACAUAUCAGAUAAGAUGACUGGAUGACGAUAAGAAGCUACAAUCUGAGAGAAUGUUUCCUUCACCAGUUCGAUUGGCACCACAGAAUACCUAUCAAACAGGAUUUUAUCUAACCAGUUUCACCAAAACUAUUUUACUAGCCAUGUCAGCAUUGCCAAUCCUGCAUGUAUAGACUAUGGUACUAACAAAAAAAAAGGGAGGUCAAUCACAAACAAAACCUAAAUUUCUAACCCCUUUUUUGCAUGAACUAGUAACACAAUAACUGCUUUUAAAUUUUCAGACAUGGAAUUAGAUACUGUUUUUAAUCUAACAAAAUAUUACAUGGUCCACUCAUUUGUGAUGCCAGAUCGCCACUAAACAGGAUCAAAGCACUAGUACAAGGAAUAUUAUGUUUUCAUGAGCUGUAAUACCCGUUGUAACCUGUGCAUUACUGCAACUCAGAUCAAGAUCGUUUAAACCAAACUACUGCAAAUUUGAUGAGUGGAAAACUUUGUCAUUUUCCAUUUCUCCAAUCGCCUAGUUGACACCAGAAAUGUCACUAAUAAAGCAAAACUGAAAUAAAAUGAAAUAGGAAAGUAACCCUUACCAGGCUUCCUGAGCUCAUCUGGGUCUGCAAGAGAGUGGCCUCGGAACCGGUAGGUUUCGCACUCCACUAGGGUUGGUCCUUCACCUCUCCUUGCCCUCUCAAUUGCCUCCUUAGCAACCUCCCUUACCUUCAGGACAUCCAUACCGUCAACAUGCACCCCAGGCAUUCCAAAUGCUGGUCCCUUCUUAUAAAUCUCUGGGUCCGAUGUAGCCCUAAGGUGUGACAUCCCAAUUGCCCACAGGUUGUUCUCCACAACAAACACGAUAGGAAGCUUCCAAAGCUGCGCCAUGUUCAGGCACUCAAAGAACUGCCCAUUGUUACAGGU